AUGCCUGAGGAAGUAAACCAUGGCGAGGAAGAGGUGGAGACCUUUGCCUUUCAGGCAGAAAUUGCCCAGCGCAUGUCCUUAAUCAUCAAUACUUUCUAUCACACAAGGAAAUUUUCAUUCGAGAGUUGAUCUCCAAUGCUUCUGAUGCCUUGAACAAGAUUCGCUAUGAGAGCCUGACAGACACUUCCAAGUUGGACAGUGGCAAAGAGCUGAAAACUGACAUCAUCCCCAAUCCUCAUGAGUGCACGAUGGCUUUGGUGGACACAGGCAUUGGCAUGACAAAAGGGGAUCUCACAAAUAAUUUGGGGGCCAUUGCUAAGUCUGGCACAAAGGCUUUCAUGGAGGCUCUCCAGGCUGGUGCCGACAUCUCUGAGAUUGGGCAGUUUGGUGUUGGAUUCUACUUGGCCUAUCCCAUGGCGGAGAAGGUGGUUGUGAUCACAAAGCACAAGGAUGAUGAGCAGUAUGAGUUCGUGCAGACCACGGUGAGCCUAUUGGCCAGGGUACCAAAGUCGUCAUUCAUCUCCAAGAAGACCAGACAGUGUACUUAGAGGAAAGGAGGGUCAAGGAAGCGGUGAAGAAACACUCACAGUUCAUAGGCUAUCCCAUCACCCUCUAUUUGGAGAAGGAAUGAGAGAAGGAGAUCUGUGAUGAUAAGCAGAGGAAGAGAAGGGUGAGAAAGAGGAAAAGAUAAGGAUGAGGAGGAGAAGCCAAAGACUGAAGAUGCGGGAUCCGAUGAGGAGGAUGACAGUGGCAAAGAUAAGAAAAAGAAAAUUGAGGAGAAAGACUUUGAUCAGGAAGAGGCGAAAAAGACUAAGCCCGUUUGGAACAGAAGCCCUGAUGACAUCACUCAAGAGGAAUAUGACAAAUUCUAUAAGAGCCUCACCAAUGAUUGGGAGGACCACUUGGCAGUCAAGCACUUCUCUGUAGAUCCGUUGGAAUUCAGAGUAUUGUUCUUCAUUCCUCGGCAAGCUCCCUUUGACCUUUUUGAGAAAAAAAAAAAAAGAACAACAACAGCCUCAAACGGUAUGUCUGUUGUGUGUUCAUCAUGGACAGCUGUGAUGAGCUGAUACUUGAGCACCUUAACUUUAUCUGUGGUGUGGUUGACUCUGAGGACCUCCGAAUAUCUCCCGAGAAAUGCUCCAGCAGCUCAAGAUCCUGAAAGUCAUCCACAAAAACAUUGUGAAGAAGUGCCUUUAGCUCUUCUCUGAGCUGGCUAAAGACAAAGAGAACUACAAGAAAUUUUAUGAGGCCUUCUCCAAGAACUUAAAACUUGGAAUCCAUGAAGAUUCCACGAACUUCUUGAGCCUCUCUGAACUGCUGUGCUACCACACCUCUCAGUCUGGAGAUGAGAUGACUUCCCAGUCAGAGUAUGUGUCUCACAUGGAGGAGAUACAGAAGUCCAUCUAUUAUAUCACUGGUGAGAGCAAAGAGCAGGUAGCCAACUCUGCCUUUGUGGAGCGUGUGCGGAAGCGAGGCUUUGAAGCGGUGUACAUGACUGAGCCUAUUGACCAGUACUGAUGCAGCAGCUCAAGGAGUUUGCUGGAAAGAGCCUGGUCUCAGUGACUAAGCAAGGUCUGGAGCUACCAGAAGAUGAGGAAAAGAAGAAGAAAAUGGAGGAGAGCAAGGCAAAAUUUGAGAACCUCUGCAAGCUCAUGAAGGAGAUCUUGGAUAAGAAGGUUGAGAAGGUGACAAUCUCCAAGAGGCGUGUGUCUUCACCCUGCUGCAUUGGGACAAACACCUAUGGCUGUACAGCCAACAUGGAACGGAUCAUGAAGACCCAGGCACUCUAAGACAACUCUACAAUGGGCUACAUGAUGGCCAAAAAGCACCUAGAGAUCAACCCUGACCACCCCAUUAUGGAGACUCUGUGGCAGAAGGCUGGGGGAGAUAAAAAUGACAAAGCUGUCAAGGACCUGGUAGUGCUGCUGUUUGAGACUGCUCUGCUGUCCUCUGGUUUCUCACUUGAGGAUCUCCAAACCCACUCCAGCCACAUCUACUGCAUGAUCAAACUAGGCCCGGGUAUUGAUGAAGAUGAGGUGACAGCAGAGGAGCCCAGUGCUACUGUUCCUGAUGAGAUCUCCCCACUCGAGGGCGAUGAGGAUGCCUCCCGCAUGGAAGAAUUAGAUUAG